AAGUGACAUUAUAUUGUUUAAAGAAUGACAGUAUCAUCUAUCACUAAUAUAUGUAUAAAAAUAUAUAUAUGGUUUAAAAAUUCAUGUUUACCACAAUUUUAACAAGCUUCUAGUUUGAUGUUGCAGGAUUUGCAUUGGAUUCUUGAUUGUCAAGGUAAUGUAUUUUACCAGCUUCAAAAUCCACUACACACCCAAAAAAGUGUCCUUGAUGCCCGAUUGGGAAGAAAACCUAUAAUGUUUAAAAAUAAUAGAAGAUAACAUUAAGCAACAAAAUCAUUUAUAACAAAUGACUUUAUGUAUAAAACUAAUGAUACUUUGAAGUUAUAUAAUUAACACUAUUAAAAAUUAAACUAUGACACAAAGCAGAAUAUAAUGAAAUAAUAAACUAUAAUUACCAUCUGUGUGUUGAGGACAUGGGGUGUCAUCUGCAUAUGGGAAAUACAUAAUCUUUGAUGUUUUGAUUUUGUACAUAAUUUCAUUUUUUUAUUUCAAUUCUUACUACCUUUUAAGCAUAAUUAUAGUUUUUCUCUAUAAAUCUGUAUCAUGUGUUGAUAUCACAAUUUUUUCAAAUGUUUUUAACUUUUAGUUCGUGAAAUUUUUCGAUUGUGUGUUUUAUAGUGUUUUUUUUAGUGUUUAUAGCGUCAUUUUCAAAUACAUGUAUAUAGUGUAAUUUUUAUAUGAGUAUAGUGUUAUUGUUUUUGAUAAAAUGUUCUUUUAGUGCAAGUGUCAUUUUGUAAUAAUAAAAGUUUCAUUUCCUUACAGUUUAUGUUUUAUUUCUCAGUUUAAAUCUCAUACUAAAUAUGAGGAGGAAGCAAAGUGCAUUAAAAACAAAAACAAACUAUGAAUCCUCAGAAGAGCAGAAACCUUGUUUGGAUUUAGUUACUACAACGAAGCAAGUGUCCAGCUCAAAUUAUGUUAGCUGUGAUGAAAAAUUAUCCAAAUCAGAAAGAGUUCCUCUGAAUAGUGUUGAAGAUAAUGAUAAAGGUGUUUCUGAAGAAGAUUCAGAAACCAAUCCUGAUGUUGUAAUGAUAGUAUCACUGCUGCUAAGUGAUUCUCCACGGUAAUAUAUAUGAAACACUAAAUUAUAACAUCAUUUACUUUGAUAAAAACAUUUUUACUCAUUUAUUUUCUUAUACAAGAUUCCUAAAAGAAAAAGAAAACCUCAUGGAGAAAUUGCUCGCGUUAAAGAGGACAAGCGCAAAAAGAAAAUAAAAAACAACAAAGAAUGUGAAAGGUAAUGACUAGGAAAAGUGUUAGUUUUAUAUAAUUAUAGUGUUAUUUUGUUAAUGUAAGUUUUCUUAAAUAACAGUUUCAUUUUAUAUGUAGAUCACUAACAACAAAAGCUAAUGGUGACGAUGAAAAUCAAAUACGUAAUAGCAUGUUUUUUUUUUAUGAUGCUCAGUUUGAAAAUUAGUUAUUGUUAAUGAAAAUAUGUUUAAAGUCUUUCUAGUGUUAUUUAAAUGAAGUUUGUUUGUUAGUAUAUUUUAUAUUGGUCAGUAGUGUUAUUUAAAUGUGAUUUAUUAGUAUGAUUUUGUUACAUAACAGUUUCAUUUUAUAUGUAGAUCACUGACAAUAAAUGCUGCUGCUGAGGAUAAAAAGCAAAGCGUACCUAUCGAAAGGUAAUAUAAUUUGUUCGCUUAACUAAGUUAUAGCAUUUUUUCUUUUUUAUAAUUCUGAGUUUGAAAAUUAGUUAUUGUUAAUGAAAAUAUGUUUAAAGUCUUUCUAGUGUGAUUUAGAAAAAUGUCAUUUACAUAACAUUCUACUGUUAGUGUCAUUUUUAAUGUUUAUAAUGUUAUAAUUUGUUUGUGAUUUGUCACAUAAAUGAAGUCUCUUUGUUAGUGUCUUUUAUAUUGCUGAGUAUUGUCAUUUAAAAGUCUGUGCAUUUGUUAGUGUCUUUUAUGUUGCUGAGUAUUUUCAAUUAAAAGUUUGUGCAGUAACAUUUAUUUGUGCUAGUGUCAUUUUUAUUUUUAUGAGUAGUGUCAUUUAUUUUGUGUUAAUGUCUUUUAUAUUGAUGAGUAUUUUCAUUUGAAUGUCUGCGCAGUGUCAUUUAUUUGUGUUAGUAUCAUUUUUAUAUUGAUGAGUAGUGUCAUUUAAAUGUCUAUGCAGUGUCAUUUAUUUGUGUUAAUAGUGUCAUUUAUUUGUUAUAGUAAAAUAUGGAAUGUUUAACUGCAGGGCCUUGAAAACAGAGGCAAUUUAUAUAGUAAAGUGUAGGGCAGCUGGUAUUUGUGAACUAAUACCUUUGUUAAAUAAAAGUCAGUGUGAAGCUGUAGUUGAAUUAGGAUUUGGGGGCAUUUUACAGAUGAAAGAACUGGGAUACAUUUCUUGGCGGAUUAUGAGCUGGUUUUGGAGAAAUUUUAACC
rnacentral:lncRNA from 1 species